GACUGAUCCAUGACCUGAGCUUGUAGGUUCUACACUAAUACAAAUGGUACACGAUAAUUGCGUGUGAAGAAAGGCUGGCAGCUUUACAGAGGAAAUUUCUGAACCUGUAGGUUUUCAGUUGUACAGGGUGAUAUACUGGUUAAAAAGUGUGUUCUAAAUUUCGGGGACAGGAUUUUUUGCUUAUGCCAAGGAAACCUUCCUGUGCUUUGGAACAGAAAACCUGGUAGUAAGCUAGGAUUUGGAGGAUAUUGUGUCUGCACAGGAAGGUAUUCUGCAACAGGGAUGACAAAAUACAUUGGUCUGAAUCUUCAUGUGGUCAAGACGCUAAGGUUAAAGGGUUAAGGCAUCUCUGUGCUGAGCCGUCACAUCCGAAAGAGGCUGACAGCAUAUGAAGGCAGAGAAGUAUCCUUUGAUGAGAAAAUGCAAAUUCCAAACAAAACAUUUGCAGAACCACUAAUCACCAUUUCCGUACAAUUGAGCAAUGAUAUGGUAUUUAUUAUAGAAUGACUCAAAGAUCAAACAUUCCCUAAAGUGUGGUAGAAGGCAGGAAGAAUGACACUUGCUAAUUUGAAUUUCAGAAAGCCCCUAAACCACAUUCUGAUCUCCAGAUUCAUAUAACUGUCACACCUGCCACUCACACCUGCAGCCUUCGAGAAAAAAGUCUGUUUCCUGAAAAUACGGGAACAAUGCUGGGAAGGUGAAGGAGCUUCACACCAGUAGAUGGAAGAUUUUCUGUAAGUUUCAAACUGCUUAUCCGCCAAGGCAGCUCGCCUGAGAAGUGUAUGGAAACUUUGACACAGCAGGAGUAAACUGUCUGGAAGGAGCAUCCUCCACCAUAUAUCAUGGUGCCUGAUAGUUGAGACAAGAUGUUUGCAUUGGUCUCAUGUGAACAGUUGGGUGCCACUGCAUGAUGCUUUUUUUGUGAAAUGCUGUUUGCUUUUGUGCUUGCACACACAACAGUGCCUCAAUCCAAUAAUUUACUGUAUCAUUCAGAUGUGAUUCUCCCAACACAUUGUUGGCCAAUGCUUUUGUGUAUUCCCAGAGUGUCUGAAAAUCCUGCCAGCCUGUCUCUGAAAAAUUGGCCUAUAUAGCAAAUAGUUGGAACACACCAGGGGCACUUCAUAUAUUAAUUUAAUAGCCUGUCCACAAGUAUAAAUGCAGAAAAAUGAGCCUUGUAAAGGACUGGCAAAGCUACACUCAAUGGUGCACAAAAUAACUUUCACUGGCAAGACUGUUAGUUGUCCCACAGUGAAACUAAAAGCAAAUAUUGAACUUGAAAUACCUCUGAUUGGGUAGGAAUCUGAAAGACAAAGCCAUGAAUUAGUGAGCACAGGGUGGAAAUGAGUAACUGAUGGUUGGUGGCAUCAGAAAUAUGGUCAGGAGAGUUGAGCAUAUCCAUACUUCAAUACCUGUGCAGAUGAGGAGCAAAUAGGAUUUGCAAAAUGAAGACACAAUGUGACCGGAGUAACCAGAGUGAGUAACUAGAAAGAGAGCAUUGUCAAAGAUAACAUAGUGGAUAGAUGUGAAAAACAUGGUGAAAGAGAGUGCUGUUCCCAGUGACAGAACAGGGGUAAAAAUGUGAAUUAUUUUCUAACUAUGCUGCAUUUAACCUUGGCAUUCUUUCACCUUGUGAUUCUUUCCAGUUCAUAUUACUUAUGGGAAGGAAAUAAAAAUCCAUCCGCAUAGGUUCUGUUUUCUAAAAUCACACAGGCUUAAUACAGUACCACUAAUAUAUACUGAAUUGUAGCACAUGGUAUCAUGAUUCUUAGUUUUAUGCCAUCAAUUCCGUAUUGUUGUAAUUAUUGUAUCAAAGAUGUCCAGAGGAUGAUAUUAAAGCCUGUAGAGAGACACAUCCCAUAUUCUAAUAAAUAAUGUGGGUUUAGACAAUAGUUUAUUAAAAUACUUUCGUAGCUGUGAACAUGUUUUUUGAGUAAUGAGGUUCUUUAGGAAGGUUUUAAAAUCAUCAUUGUGAAGGAUUUGUAUCCAGAGCAAUAGAGGUUUUUUCUGGUUGUAGGUUGUACUGUAUUUUUAAUAUGCAUGUAUUUGUGGUUCUUCUUAUCGAAAUGUGCUUAGAGGGCAUCAUGGAAGGAUUAGUUCAGUAUCUCCCACCUCAGCCCAGACCUAACAGCCAGUUCCAAAGUUCUCCUGUAGUUUUGUCUUUUAUUCAGAAAUCUUCUCAUCAUGUUUCAGAUAUGGUGAUGGAGUAGUUUACAAAAAUUAUCCUUGUAUCCUGGAAAAAAUGCCUGUCUUCUAGUAGUUCACUCUUCAAAAAUCAUGUAAUUUGAGAAACUGUCCUGGCAUGAAGGUCUGAUUUUUUUUUAUUUUUUAAAGUUUUUAAUUGACCUCCUUUUUUAAAGCAUGCUAUUUAUGGAUUUAAAAAAAAAAAAAAGGUGACAAAAGUAGAUUUUGUAAACUCUUGUUUAUGUUCCCAUUUAGAUUUGAUUCACAAUAGCUUUGCUUGUGUAGUUGAAAUCAUUUUCUCUGAAGACAAAAAGUUACAGUGAAUAAUAGAGCAUAGAUUUGUUGAUAGCUUGCAUCAUCUCAUGAAUUAAUACCUCUGUAUUAUGUUUAUGGAGUACAGUAAAAUGUGUUAUCUGAGUAGUUAAUCAACCUAAGCCAUUAGUGGUGAAAUACUCUGUAAUGUAUACCAACUAAUUGUGUUGAGAACUAUGUGUCUUAAGAAAUACUUUAUGCUGCAGUACAUUUAUGCACACAGAAGAAUGCAUUUAAAAAAUCUCUUUUAGUGAAUCAAGACUUUUUUUUUUUUGAUUUUGAUGU